CGGGUGCGUAACACGUGAGCAACCUGCCGAUCUGAGGGGGAUAGCCGGCCCAACGGCCGGGUAAUACCGCAUACGUUCUCGAGGGGGAGUCUCCUUGAGAAGAAACCUCCGGGGCAGAUCGAGGGGCUCGCGGCCUAUCAGCUAGUUGGCGGUGUAACGGACCACCAAGGCGAUGACGGGUAGCUGGUCUGAGAGGAUGGCCAGCCACAUUGGGACUGAGAAACGGCCCAG
rnacentral:rRNA from 1 species